rnacentral:rRNA from 1 species
CACGUAGGGUGCGAGCGUUGUCCGGAAUUAUUGGGCGUAAAGAGCUCGUAGGCGGUGUGUCGCGUCGGCCGUGAAAACCUGCAGCUUAACUGUGGGCGUGCGGUCGAUACGGGCAUGACUGGAGUUCGGCAGGGAGGACUGGAAUUCCUGGUGAUGAGCGGUGAAAUGCGCAGAUAUCAGGAGGAACACCGGUGGCGAAGGCGGGUCUCUGGGCCGAUACUGACGCUGAGGAGCGAAAGCGUGGGGAGCGAACAGG